CGCAGCCGCGGUAAUUCCAGCUCCAAUAGCGUAUAUUAAAGUUGUUGCAGUUAAAAAGCUCGUAGUUGAAUUUCGGGAUCAAUAUUUCGGUCAUGCCGUUGGUAUGCACUGUUAUCAUUGAUUUCUCACCUUCUAAAGAACCGUAAUGCCAUUAAUUUGGUGUUACGGGGAAUUAGGACUGUUACCUUGAAAAAAUUAGAGUGUUUAAAGCAGGCUCACGCUUGAAUACAUUAGCAUGGAAUAAUGAAAUAGGACAUCCGAUUCUAUUUUGUUGGCUUCUAGGAUUGACGUAAUGAUUAAUAGGGACAGUUGGGGGCAUUAGUAUUCAAUUGUCAGAGGUGAAAUUCUUGGAUUUAUUGAAGACUAACUACUGCGAAAGCAUUUGCCAAGGAUGUUUUCAUUAAUCAAGAACGAAAGUUAGGGGAUCGAAGACGAUCAGAUACCGUCGUAGUCUUAACCAUAAACUAUGCCGACUAGGGAUCGGAUGAUGUUAAUUUUUAAUGACUCAUUCGGCGUCCG
rnacentral:rRNA from 1 species